rnacentral:lncRNA from 1 species
AAAACAUGAGGACUUUGGAAUUCUUUAAGUCUCAUCAUUAUUUUACCUAUUGUAUUUUUCCAGCAUUUUACACCUGCCCCAUUUCACCCUAAAAGUUGAUUUGUUAUGGCCACUAGCAUUAUCAUUAUUUUAUUGUCAAUGUUAUUGUUAUUGCAGUUAUUACUGAUGGUUGUAUUAUAGUUUUUUUUAAAGAGAGAGAGAGAGAGAAAAGGAGAGAGAGAGAAUUUUAAUAUUUAUUUUUUAGUUUUCAGCGGACACAACAUCUUUGUUUGUAUGUGGUGCUGAGGAUCCAACCCCGGCCAAACGCAUGCCAGGCGAGCACGCUACCGCUUGAGCCACAUCCCCAGCCCUGUAUUAUAGUUUGUAGAAAAUAAUGCUUAGAAUUGUUAUCACAUCACUUUGAAAUCUUGGGUCCAUUCCCCAUCCUUCUGUGUCUUGCAACAUUCAUUUGUUUAAUCUGUUUCACAUUAUCUGUUUCUUUGUACUUUUGUGCUAUCUGCUGCCCAGUUCUCAAAUUUACUUAAUGCUUAAUAUAUUUUCACUUCAAAAUUUGUUAUUUCUUGGUUCCAUAUUUUUUCCUCUGAUUUUAUCACUGUAUUCCAUGUUUUAAAAGAAAAAUACAUACAAUUCAGAAGUUCUAUGUCAGACUUUUGGUUAAUUUUGAUUCUUGGAUAUGUUCUAUUCAGGGUUAAACUUUUUUGCUAUUACAUGAAAUGAUUCUUCUUUUCAUUUUUAAUUAUUAAAAA